rnacentral:lncRNA from 10 species
AGGGUUCCAGUUUCUCCACAUCGUCCUCAAAACCAGUUACUGCCCGUCUUUUGAUUCUGGCCAUCCUAGUAGGCUAUAUUCUAUGGCUACAAGAGACAUGAGCAGAUUACAGAGCUCCACACCCAGUCUUGGAAAGAAAAGUAACUACUACUAAGUAGCAGCAACUUUUAAGAGAAAAGAAUAGAGUUCCUGGUGCUUGUGGCAAGAAGCAGGAGGACCUUGAAGCCAAUCUGGGCUUGAGAAAGUGGUUCAUUCCCCCAAAUACUUCACUCAAUGAUCUACCUAAAUGUCUGCCGUCUGCCCUCCUUUCCCACCAAUUUCCAGUCAGGCAGCAAUAGCCAACAGCAAUAUUAAUAGUAAAAUUAAUAGCAGUAGUACCAGCA